rnacentral:rRNA from 1 species
UACGUAGGGGGCAAGCGUUGUCCGGAAUCAUUGGGCGUAAAGAGCGUGUAGGCGGCCCGGUAAGUCCGCUGUGAAAGUCCAGGGCUCAACCCUGGGAUGCCGGUGGAUACUGUCGGGCUCGAGUCCGGAAGAGGAGUGUGGAAUUCCUGGUGUAGCGGUGAAAUGCGGCAGAUAUCAGGAGGAACACCAAUGGCGAAGGCAGCACUCUGGGACGUGACUGA